GUGGGGAAUAUUGCACAAUGGGCGCAAGCCUGAUGCAGCAACGCCGCGUGAGUGAAGAAGGCCUUCGGGUCGUAAAGCUCUGUCCUGUGGGACGAAACAAAUGACGGUACCACAGGAGGAAGCCCCGGCUAACUACGUGCCAGCAGCCGCGGUAAUACGUAGGGGGCAAGCGUUAUCCGGAAUCACUGGGCGUAAAGGGUGCGUAGGUGGUUCCUCAAGUCAGAAGUGAAAGGCAGUGGCUUAACCACUGUAAGCUUUUGAAACUGAGGAACUUGAGUGCAGGAGAGGUAAGUGGAAUUCCUAGUGUAGCGGUGAAAUGCGUAGAUAUUAGGAGGAACACCAGUGGCGAAGGCGACUUACUGGACUGUAACUGACACUGAGGCACGAAAGCGUGGGGAGCGAACAGGAUUAGAAACCCUUGUAGUCC
rnacentral:rRNA from 1 species